rnacentral:rRNA from 1 species
GACGAACGCUGGUGGCGUGCCUAAUACAUGCAAGUUGAGCGCUGAAGGUUGGUACUUGUACCAACUGGAUGAGCAGCGAACGGGUGAGUAACGCGUGGGGAAUCUGCCUUUGAGCGGGGGACAACAUUUGGAAACGAAUGCUAAUACCGCAUAAAAACUUUAAACACAAGUUUUAAGUUUGAAAGAUGCAAUUGCAUCACUCAAAGAUGAUCCCGCGUUGUAUUAGCUAGUUGGUGAGGUAAAGGCUCACCAAGGCGAUGAUACAUAGCCGACCUGAGAGGGUGAUCGGCCACAUUGGGACUGAGACACGGCCCAAACUCCUACGGGAGGCAGCAGUAGGGAAUCUUAGGCAAUGGACGAAAGUCUGACCGAGCAACGCCGCGUGAGUGAAGAAGGUUGUCGGAUCGUAAAACUCUGUUGGUAGAGAAGAACGUUGGUGAGAGUGGAAAGCUCAUCAAGUGACGGUAACUACCCAGAAAGGGACGGCUAACUACGUG